rnacentral:rRNA from 1 species
UAGGGAAUCUUCCGCAAUGGACGCAAGUCUGACGGAGCAACGCCGCGUGAGUGAAGAAGGAUUUCGGUUCGUAAAACUCUGUUGUUCGAGAAGAACAGCGCAUAGAGUAACUGUUAUGCGUGUGACGGUAUCUAACCAGAAAGCCACGGCUAACUACGUGCCAGCAGCCGCGGUAAUACGUAGGUGGCAAGCGUUGUCCGGAUUUAUUGGGCGUAAAGCGAGCGCAGGCGGUCAAUUAAGUCUGAUGUGAAAGCCCCCGGCUCAACCGGGGAGGGUCAUUGGAAACUGGUUGACUUGAGUGCAGAAGAGGAGAGUGGAAUUCCAUGUGUAGCGGUGAAAUGCGUAGAUAUAUGGAGGAACACCAGUGGCGAAGGCGACUCUCUGGUCUGUAACUGACGCUGAGGCUCGAAAGCGUGGGUAGCAAACAGG